rnacentral:rRNA from 1 species
UACGAAGGGGGCGAGCGUUGUUCGGAAUUACUGGGCGUAAAGGGCGCGUAGGCGGCCGAUCAAGUUAGAUGUGAAAGUCCUGGGCUUAACCUGGGGACUGCAUUUGAUACUGAUUGGCUUGAAUUCGGGAGAGGAUAGCGGAAUUCUCAGUGUAGAGGUGAAAUUCGUAGAUAUUGGGAAGAACACCGGUGGCGAAGGCGGCUAUCUGGACCGACAUUGACGCUGAGGCGCGAAAGCGUGGGGAGCAAACAGG